CGCAGGCUCAGUAGUUGUGGCGCACGGGCUUAGCUGCUCCGAGGCAUGUGGGAAUUUCCUGGACCAGGGUUUGAACCCGUGUCCCCUGCACUGGCAGGUGGAUUCUUAACCACUGCGCCAUCAGAGAAGUCCAGUGGCACCUAUUAAGAGACUUCUCUGCUUCUUUUAAGAUUUUUAAAAAUUCAUAAAUGAGAAUCAUUCUUUGAGUUAGAUUUGCUCACUUUAGCAAAGCUGUAAUUUGCUUCUGAUUGUAAAUAUUACUGCUUCUUACAUUUUAGGGUCAACAAUAGCUAAGGUCAGGGCUUGAAAAGUUCAACUUCAGAGUACCAGCUGUUAUUACAGGCAUACCUUGUUUUACUGAGCUUCUUGGAUACUGUUUUUUUGUUUGUUUUUACAAAUUGAAGAUCUGUGGCAACUCUACAUGAAGCAAGUCUAUCGGCGCCAUUUUUCCAACAGCAUUCGCUCACUUUGUGUCUCUGUGUCACGUUUUGGCAAGUCUUGCAAUAUUUCAAACUUUUUCAUUAUUGCAUUUGUAUUGUAUUACUGUAUUUUCAUUAUUGUAUCUGUGAUCAGUGGUCCUUGAUGUUACUAUAGCAAUUGUUUUGGAGAGCCACAAACCUUGCCCAUACCAGACAGCGAACUUAACAAAUAUUCUGUGUGUUCUGACCUACCAGCGUGUUCCCUGGUCUCUCUUCCUCUCCUUGGGCCUCUCUAUUCCCUGAGACACAACAGCACUGAAAUUAAGCAACUAAUAACACUACAAUGAAUUGCCUCUAAGUGCUCAAGUUAAAGGAAGCGUUUCAUGUCUCACACUUUAAAUCAAAAGCUAGAAAUGUUUAAGCUUAGUGAGGAAGGCAUGUUUAAAGCCAAGACACGCCAAAAGCUAGGCCUCUUGAGCCAGUCAGCCAAGUUGUGAAUGCAAAGUUAAAGUUCCGAAACAAAAUUCAAAGUGCUACUCCCGUGAACACACAAAUGAUAAGAAAGCAAAACAGCCUUACUGCUGACAUGGAGAAAGUUUUAGUAGUUUAGAUAUGAGAUCAAACCAGCCACAACAUUCCCUUAAGCCAAAGCCUGAUCCAGAGCAAGGCCCUAAUUAACUUUGACUCUAUGAAGGCUGAGAGAGGUGAGGAAGCUGCAGGAGAUAAGUUUGAAGCCAGCAGAGGUUGGUUCAUGAGGUUUAAGGAAAGAAGCCAUCUUCAUAACAUAAACGUGCAAGGCGAAGCGGCAAGUGCUGAUGCAGAAGCUGUAGCAAGGUAUCCAGAAGAUCUAGUGAAGAUAAUGAAUGAAGGUCGCUACACCAAACAAUAGAUUUUCAAUGUAGAUGAAACAGCCUUAAGUUGAAAAAAGAUACCAUCUAGGACUUUCAUAGCUAGAGAGGAGAAGUCAUUGCCUGGCUUCAAAUGACAGGCUGACUCUCUUGUUCGGGGCUAAUGCAACUGGUGACUUUAAGUUGAAGCCUAUGCUCAUCUACCAACUUGAAAAUCCUAGAAUCCUUAAGAAUUAUGCUAAAUCUACUCUGCCUGUGCUCUAUAAAUGGAAUAACAAAAGCCUGGAUGACAGAACAUCUGUUUACAACAUGGUUUACUGAAUAGUUUAAGCAUACUGUUGAGACUUAAUGCUCAGAAAAAAAGAUUCCUUUCAAAAUAUUACUGUUCAUUGACAAUGCACCCAUUCAUCCAAGAGCUCUGAUGGGGAUGUACAAUGAGAUUCAUGUUGUUGUCAUGCCUGCUAACACAACGUUCAUUCUGCAGCCCAUGGAUCAAGGAGUAAUUUUUACUUUCUCCUCUUCUUAUUUAAGAAAAACAUUUUGUAAGGUUAUAGCUGCCACAGAUGAUGGAUCUGGGAAAGUAAAUUGAAAACCUGGAAAGUAUUCACCAUUCUAGAUGCCAUUAAGAACAUUCGUGAUUCGUGGGAAAAGGUCAAAAUAUCAACAUUAACAGGAGUUUGGAAGAAGUUGAUUUCAACACUCAUAGAUGACUUUGAAGGGUUUAAGACUUGAGUGGAGAAAGUAACUGCAGAUGUGAUGGAAACAGCAAGAGAACUAGAAUUAGAAGUGGAGCCUGAAGAUGGGACUGAAUUGCUGCAAUCUCAUGAUAAAACUUUUAAGGAAUGAGAAGUUUCUUUUUAUGGAUGAGCAGAGAAAGUGGGUUCUUGAGAUGGAAUCUACUCCUGGUGAAGAUACUGUGAAGACUGUUGAAAUGACAUGAAAAACUUAGUUGAUGAAGCAGUGGCAGGGUUUGAGAGAACUGACUCCAAUUUUGAAAGAAGCUCUACUGUGGGUAAAAUGCUAUCAAACAUCAUUGCGGGCUACCAAGAAAUAGUUCGUGAUAGGAAGAGUCAAUCAAAGCAGCAAACUUCACUGCUGUCUUAUUUUAAGAAACUGCCGCCGCCAGCCCAGCCUUCAGCACCACCACCCUGAUCAGCCAGCAGCCACCAACACUGAGGCAAGACCCUCCACCAGCACAAAGACUGACUCGCUGAAGUCUCAGAUGAUGGUUAGCAUUUUUUAGCAAUAAAGUAUUUUUUAAUUAAAGUCUGUACAUUGUUUUUUUACACAUAAUCCUAUCACACACUUAACAGACUACAGUAUAGCGUAAACAUAACUUUUAUAUGCACUGGGAAACCAAAACAUUCCUGUGACUGGCUUUAUUGUGAUGGUCUGGAACUGAACCCCCAAUAUCUCAGAGGAAUGCCUGUAAGUUGGACUGAGGCAACUCCAGAAGACCCAAAGCGUUCCAGCAGUGCACCUGAACCCAGUGUUACUCCCUCCUCUAAGCCAGAGGAGAGACUGAGGCUCCUUGCCAUCAUCUCUGAGGUUUCCUAAAUCCGCAAAUGAUUAUUUUGAAAUUUUGUCUGAUGUCUGACUAAAAAAAAGAAAAAGACCUGCACAGUAGUAACCCCAAGAAAAAUGCCCAAAGCAAAUGCCUCCCACUCAAGUGAACAGAACUCUAACUUGCAACAAGGAAAGGAGUGUAGUAGCAUAAGGCAGAGAAACUGAAAAUACAGGGUAUGCCUAAAGGCUAACCUUUCCAUAACUAAAUCAGGUCUUUUCCUUGUCUUCUUGCUUUUCUUCUCUUUUUGCUCUUUAAAAAGCACUUUUCAAAAAUCCCACACAGAAACUAUAGCCAGUAGCUUCCUUUAGGUUGGCAGUAUUUCUAAGAAUAAUACAACAGCCACAAGUUAUGGAGCUCUGACUCUGUGCCGGGCACGGCACAAUGGCUUUACAUACUAAAUGUUAAGAAAGGCAGGCGGUAUUAUCCCCAUUUUAAAGAUGAGGAAAUUGAGAUUUACAAAGGAAUAUAUAGGUACCAAAAGGCAGUUAUGAUUCAAACCUAAAGAUCUGUUGAUUCCAAAGGUCUUUUAAUACUAUGUUAUCUACUGCCUUUACUUACCAUUAUUUUUCAGAUACUUUGUCUAUUGCACAGUAGUGGGUGUUUUUUCGGUCUUGCCUCCUAAUCCAUUAUACUAAUUUAUUUUCUAUUUUUCUCUUCUCACAGGUCUUUUUUUUGACUAUACUUUUUUACUUAAAAAGUAAAACAAAAAUGACAAUCACACACUAGUUAAUUGUUUCAGAUGGACAACUGGCAUAUAUAAGCACAGACCAAAAUGUAAAUUCUUUCAAUAGACUCAACAGUAAAAGCUGAAUUAUAGGCUUUUUAUCCAUCAUGCUCUACAGGAAUCAAAAAGACACUUACCUUAUUAUUAAAAAUUCAGUGUACAUUUACGAUGUACUAAGAGUACUGUGCUAGGCUCCAUAGGAACUAGAACAUGAGGAAGGCUUGGUCUGUGCCUUUGAAGAACUCAGAGACACUAGUUUGUUGUGGGAGCGGAAGUGGUAACACAAACACUUUUAUUACAAUGUGAGAAAUGCUGAAACAAGUACAGAGUGCUGUGUGGCAGAGAAUAGGGGUGAUGCUGUUAGUACGUGCUAUACUACUAACGGAGGGAGCAAAGGUAGGAGACAUGGGUAUAUGUUUCCAUAACAACAAUCCAAAUGCAAUUACUACUGGUUUGUCACUCUUUUACUCACUAAGUCAUUUGAUUAUCUAUAAUAAAAUGAAAUUUCAAACUCAACUGCCCAUCUAUUCAAAAUUUCUACUGUACUUUAAUUCGUCCUUAGCCUUACCUGUUCUGGAAGAGGCCUAGGUCACAUCCCAUCACCUUAGCAAAGCCUUCUGACUCCCCCCAGAAAGUGAGUCUUUCCCUCUGCUGUUCACAUACCUUUUUGAUAGCACUUUCCAACCUAUUUUAAUUAUUUAUGUCCUCUCUUAUCUGUAGAGGCACUUAUUCUUCUUUGUAUCAGACUGAGGAGACACUUGGUAAUCAUUCACUUAAUCAAUGGAGUUCAACUCUAUUACAGAUCAACAUCUGGACAACUGGCAUGUGUGAUGAAGCAUAAACUAUAUACUGCUAUAUAUACAUCGUUUUAAGUUCUGAUCUGAAGAUGAUGGAGCAGUAAAAGAGAGCUGAUACUAUCAAUGUUUUCAUUAAACACACACACAGAUCAGGUUUAAAGUAUUUAAGUUGCAUUUUAGAAUCAGUUUAAGUCAUCUGGAUGAAAAGUCAUAUGGAGGACUCUGCCACUGUCCUUGAUGGUCACACCACACAAUCUGUUUGCCUCAUGAGGCUCAUCUUGGCCAAAAACAGACACGAAAGUGGAGGAAUUAAGAUGUGUGGGCUUAACUGAAGAAGCCUUCAACACUACCCACCAGUCUGGUGACAGGAGUUCCAACUAACAGCUACAGGCAAUGGGUUGUAAGAAGUCUCUGAGGCUUGUGAGCUUGGAGUUUCCUCAGAAGCCACCACUCCCAACAUGGAUCCUAUGAAAGGAUUCUCAGGUUCCAAACUGACAAUAUUCAACACCCAGCAAGAGUAAAAUAUGCUUUUCUAGCUUUGGUGAUUGAUCCUAUAAUCUCUUUUUAUUAAUAAUAUCUUUUACUCUUAAAUCAUAUGCCCCACAACUGAAUUUAAUUCAUUUUAUUGGAAUGGUUCAUGUAUGAAUGCUCUUAUUAAACAAACAAAAAUCGAAAGUCUAUCACGUAAACUCAUCCCUGUUUCUACCAUUAAAAUCAAGUUAAAUGGUUAAACAAUUAGGGAACUAUAUGCUUCCAUACCUUAUGAAUUCCAUUCAAAUACGCAUGGAAUUUGUUUCACUUAACUUUUAAUAUACAAAGGGAAAAACAAAAAAAGCCUCAUGCUUAAUCUAACUACAUUCUGAACUGAUAAAAUCUACUUAAAAAUCACCCUUAAGAUUUUACAAUACGAUAAUUUCUAAAGACAACAAAUUUCCUUACUUGAGCUGAGUACCUUUAGGACAAAACUGCAGUCGGUCAAAAUCUUUAAAAGAUAAAAAAGAAUCAAUAAUUACUCAUGACUUGUACACAACAAAUCAAUUAUUUUCAAACAAAGUCACUCUAACAGGAUAAGUUGGCACUUACCAAGUCCACAUUCCCCUAUUGCUACAACUUUCCCCUUGUUGUUUUCAGCGAGAUUUAGUAACUCCAUCAAGUAAAGAUCAGGGUUAUUCUUUUCAAAUUCAUCACAUCUUGUAGGAUGACACCCAACUGUACUGAAAAACA